UCCCAGUGAAGAAACAUUCAAACAUUACUUCCUGUCCUAGUCCCAGAGCCUGUAAAGGUGAACCCACUGGGGCUGGCUGGAGAAGAGGAAAGUUUGUUCCAGAAGGAACUGAGGGAU
rnacentral:snoRNA from 1 species